rnacentral:rRNA from 1 species
AACGAACGCUGGCGGCAGGCCUAACACAUGCAAGUCGAGCGCACCCCUUCGGGGGCGAGCGGCGGACGGGUUAGUAACGCGUGGGAACAUACCCUUUACUACGGAAUAGCCUCGGGAAACUGAGAGUAAUACCGUAUGUGCCCUUCGGGGGAAAGAUUUAUCGGUAAAGGAUUGGCCCGCGUUAGAUUAGAUAGUUGGUGGGGUAAUGGCCUACCAAGUCUACGAUCUAUAGCUGGUUUUAGAGGAUGAUCAGCAACACUGGGACUGAGACACGGCCCAG